rnacentral:lncRNA from 1 species
CUACUUCUAAUUGGCUUAUGUGGAGCUCUAGGUGGGAAAGACAAUUCAAACCUACUUACAUGUAUUGCAUAUUUAAACCAUGGAUCUAGAGAAACUAAUUAUACAAUCAAGUCAUAUGUGCAUGUGAGUGCAGUGAAUGAAGUGAAUGAUAAGAAUGAUAGUGAUAAUGAGGGGUGAUAACUGAUGUUGAAUAUCUAAUUCAACAAUUGCUGCUUGGGGACAACUUACAUCCCUAAUCUAAAAAUAGGGACUUGGCUUUCUUUCUUUUCUUUUGGGACUUUUUGUCCUCUUUGUUUUCUUUUCUCUUCUCUCUUUUUUUAGAACAGCCAACCCUUCCAACAGUAAUUACAGGGAGUAUCAAUUGAAAUAACUGGAGCAUUAUUGGACAAGUAGAAUAAGAUACAAUUACAAUGAAUAUUUUUGGGUAUCUUCUCCCACUAUAGGAGUAGAAAAUUUUAUAAGUGGAUGUGGAAUGUGAAUGGGUGAACGUGUACUCCUAGGGUAGCAGCAGCAUAGGUGCUUGUCUCUAGGAUAGAAACAACAUAGAGUGUAGUGCGUAUAUGUGAGUGGUGCUUCCAGGAACAGAAGUAGCACAUAGUGAAUGUGGUGGAUGUAUGUAGUUACAAACUUCAAAGGACAGAAGUAGCUAAGAUCAAUGGAUGGAGAACACAUAAAAUUGACUUUAACUACAUGACUAAUUCCUUAGUGUCUA